UACAGAGGUGGCAAGCGUUGUUCGGAAUUACUGGGCGUAAAGGGCGCGUAGGUGGCCUUCUUAGUCAGACGUGAAAUCCCCAGGCUUAACCUGGGAACUGCGUCUGAUACUGGAAGGCUCGAGUUCGGGAGAGGAAUGUGGAAUUCCAGGUGUAGCGGUGAAAUGCGUAGAUAUCUGGAGGAACACCCGUGGCGAAGGCGGCUUCCUGGUCAUAUCCUGACGCUGAGGCGCGAAAGCUAGGGGAGCGAACGGG
rnacentral:rRNA from 1 species